rnacentral:rRNA from 1 species
CCUACGGGUGGCAGCAGUCGAGAAUCAUUCACAAUGGGGGAAACCCUGAUGGUGCGACGCCGCGUGGGGGAAUGAAGGUCUUCGGAUUGUAAACCCCUGUCAUGUGGGAGCAAAUUAAAAAGAUAGUACCACAAGAGGAAGAGAAGGCUAACUCUGUGCCAGCAGCCGCGGUAAUACAGAGGUCUCAAGCGUUGUUCGGAAUCACUGGGCGUAAGGCGUGCGUAGGCUGUUUCGUAAGUCGUGUGUGAAAGGCGCGGGCUCAACCCGCGGACGGCACAUGAUACUGCGAGACUAGAGUAAUGGAGGGGGAACCGGAAUUCUCGGUGUAGCAGUGAAAUGCGUAGAUAUCGAGAGGAACACUCGUGGCGAAGGCGGGUUCCUGGACAUUAACUGACGCUGAGGCACGAAGGCCAGGGGAGCGAAAGGGAUUAGAUACCCUGGUAGUC